rnacentral:rRNA from 1 species
UCGGGAAUUUUGGGCAAUGGGCGCAAGCCUGACCCAGCAACGCCGCGUGAAGGAUGAAGUUUUUCGGAAUGUAAACUUCACAAGACGGGGAAGAAUAAGUGUGGGCGAAGAGCCCCCAUGAUGACGGUACCCGUAGUAAGCUCCGGCUAACUCCGUGCCAGCAGCCGCGGUAAUACGGGGGGAGCAAGCGUUGUUCGGAUUUACUGGGCGUAAAGGGCGCGUAGGCGGUCACCCAAGUCACUUGUGAAAUCUCCGGGCUCAACCCGGAGCGGCCAAGUGAUACUGGGCGACUGGAGUGCGGAAGGGGCAACCGGAAUUCUCGGUGUAGCGGUGAAAUGCGUAGAUAUCGAAAGGAACACCUGCGGCGAAGGCGGGUUGCUGGGCCGACACUGACGCUGAGGCGCGAAAGCCAGGGGAGCGAA